UUUUUUGAGAGUUUGAUCCUGGCUCAGGAUGAACGCUGGCGGCGUGCCUUAAGCAUGCAAGUCAUGGGGGCUCCGCAAGGAGCAACCGGCAGACGGGUGAGUAACGCGUAGGAAUCUACCCUUCAAUGGAGCAUAGCUCAUCGAAAGAUGGGGUAAUUCUCCGUAGUCCCUUACGGGUUUAGAUCUUAACUGAUCGUUGAAGAAUGAGCCUGCGUCCUAUCAGCUAGUUGGUGGGGUAAUGGCCUACCAAGGCUUUGACGGGUAGCUGGACUGAGAGGUCGAUCAGCCACAACUGCACUUAGACACGGGCAGUACACCUACGGGUGGCAGCAACCAGGAAUAUUGGGCAAUGGGCGAAAGCCUGACCCAGCGACGCCGCGUGGAGGAAGACAGCUUUCGGGUUGUAUACUCCUUUUGCCAAGCCACUCUCGGCUUGGAGAAUAAGCCCCUUCUAACUACGUGCCUGAAG
rnacentral:rRNA from 1 species